rnacentral:rRNA from 1 species
UACGGAGGAUGCAAGCGUUAUCCGGAUUUAUUGGGCGUAAAGCGUCCGUAGGUGGUUUAGUAAGUCUGCUGUUAAAGCGCGGGGCUUAACUCCGUAUCGGCAGUGGAAACUACUAGACUAGAGUGUGGUAGGGGUAGAGGGAAUUCCCAGUGUAGCGGUGAAAUGCGUAGAUAUUGGGAAGAACACCGGUGGCGAAGGCGCUCUACUGGGCCAUAACUGACACUGAUGGACGAAAGCUAGGGGAGCGAAAGGG